GACAGAGGGGGCAAGCGUUGCUCGGAAUCACUGGGCGUAAAGGGCGCGUAGGCGGGAUGGCAAGUCGGUCGUGAAAUCCUUCGGCUCAACCGAAGAACGUCGGCCGAUACUGCCGUUCUUGAGGGAUGCAGAGGAGAUUGGAAUUCCUGGUGUAGCGGUGAAAUGCGCAGAUAUCAGGAAGAACACCCGUGGCGAAGGCGGCUCUCUGGUACGUGACUGACGCUGAGUUGCGAAAGUGUGGGGAGCAAACGGG
rnacentral:rRNA from 1 species